CUAAAGCAAUGGUUUUAACCAGUUUUCAGCUUCGUCCCAAAGUCUCACAGGCACUAACAGGACUGUUGGUUUAAUGGUUGUGUGUCUCUGUGCUGCCCUGUGAUGGAGCGUGACCUGUCCAGGGGGACCCCCACCUCUCACUCUGUCCCCUGGAGACAGGCACCAGCCCCCCUGAUUCUGAACGGAUAGGUGGUCUAGAUAAUGGAUGCAUGUUUACUACUGUAUUUAAAGGUUAUCGCUGCAACUUUCAUCUAAAAAGAUACAUUUUUCAAAAAUGAUAUCUCCACAGAAUGUCUAGAUUGGUGCAGAAUACAAAUAUUAAUUUUAUUGAAAAACAAAUAUAUGGUAUAUAAAUUUAGACGGGUCCAAAAUGUUUAAAUAUUCACUUCUGGUAAUGAUGCCAACAUCGACGCCAAAGGAUUCUGCACUAAUAGGAAUAGUAGGUUAAAGUCCUGUCAGACGGUGCUCAGGCAUUGCCAGACAGUAACUCUGCUGAGUAGAAAUAGCUUCUAGUUAUUACAUUUCUCAGAUUGAAGUGGAACAGAAAAAGAAGCCAAACGAGGUUGAACAUCGGUCAACGUUUCAGAGUUGGUGCCAAUUCAAGGAAGCGAAGGGGUUCAGAACAUAAGCCACACAGAGGUGUCCGCUUUCCUUCAGGACAGGGCCCUGUGGCGCCUCCCAGAGGACCACAGCUGAAAUUGCUGAGGAUCUCCAAGGGCCAAAUCUACCAGGAUGACAGCUGUGAAAGCUGUGCUUUCCACAUACACUUUAGAUGGCAACGGAUCAGUUUGUGUGUGUCUCUUCUUCUUUUUUUAUUUUCUGUCUUCAUAAGUGCAUUAAUUGGGAUGUGUGCAUAAAAGUUAGAGCUUUGAAAAUCCUCCUUUACUCAAACUAAAAGCAAGGUACAGUGAAACUGUGCUCCAGGUCUGCUGCAGCGGAACGGUUAGUAUAGCGUGAAAGCGGGAAGCUAAGGGGAUUAUUAGUGGGAGAUAAAGGUUGGAUUUCCAUGAUACAAUGCUGUGUUCCUUAUUGUCCUUGAUAUGCUUAGAAUAGAGAGACUGCCAUUUAUUAGGUUAUGUGCUUUGAUGAUGCUUGUUUGUCAGGUUAAAAUGAACUUCUGAAAAGAACAACCUUUAAAAUGGCAUUAAAAUAUUUUUUAU